rnacentral:lncRNA from 1 species
CUUUACACAGAUUUAGGUUGAAGCUUCUUUUAAGCAAGAUAAACACCACAGUGACGAUAAAACGCCCUCAGAUGAAGAGGAAGAAACCUUGAGAGGAGACCAGACAAUAUGCUGUAUGGAAGUGGUGGCAUAAGUGAUGGAGAUGGAGAAGGAGGAGGAGGAGGAGGCGCAGACGUCACCUAUACACCCUCCAGAGGGGAGGACUGUGUAUUCUGGCAGAGGAAUGAAAACCCAUCCUCACUGGGAGGUAGGAGGCAACACAUGUUGAGUGCUCUUGAACACACGCUGGACGUGGGAGCCACUGGACUGCUGGACACUGGACACCGCCUUCACACAGCUCUGGCUCACACAGACGCUUUGGACAGAGCCUGGAACCUACUGGGAGGACAUGAGUAGGACAUGAUCUCCAGUUCCAGCUCCAGACCAUUCUUCUCCUCCAGCAGAUCAGAGGCACACUGUGAAAUGCUGUAAUUAAAUGUCCUUUGUGACUUUUUCCUAACAUGACCUUUAAAUAUAAUGUAUCAUGCAGUUCUGACUGCAAUCUAAUUAUUUCUUGCAUGAUUGAAACAAAGACAUUUCAACAUAUUAUGCAAAUACUUACCCUUAUUAUGUCAUUUUAUCAUUUUUUUAUACUGUAAGCCUUAAACUCAUGAAUUUGAAACUCUGCCAGCUGCAGACAGUAUGCAUGUACUGUACGACCACCUGCAGACAGAGCAGGCAUGUUGCAUUUAUUGUACAACAGAGAAAACUAGACACAACUAAAGAUUAGACACAGGGCAGAUAACACUGCCGUGGCUUCUUGUGUAUUCUGUGACGUCGCACACAGGAUGAUAGUUCUGUGUAAAAACUCAUCUAAUAAAUUAAAAAAAGCUGAUUUAAAGGCCUGACCA